AGGAGACUAAUCUUGACAGAAGAAAAAAAAAAAACUUAACUGUAUUCUUAUCUGGUACACAAACAAAAGUCAAAAGUAUUGGUCAAAUUUCCAAGUAGAUGAAGCUCUCACUCUCAUCCAUAAACUUCAAGUCAAAAUUGCAUUCUUUAUGCAACCAAAGGCGUGGUACUCCUGUGAUUUCAAC
rnacentral:sRNA from 1 species